GGGUUGUGAGGUUAAGCGACUAAGCGUACACGGUGGAUGCCCUGGCAGUCAGAGGCGAUGAAGGACGUGCUAAUCUGCGAUAAGCGUCGGUGAGGUGAUAUGAACCGUUAUAACCGGCGAUUUCCGAAUGGGGAAACCCAGUGUGUUUCGACACACUAUCAUUAACUGAAUCCAUAGGUUAAUGAGGCGAACCGGGGGAACUGAAACAUCUAAGUACCCCGAGGAAAAGAAAUCAACCGAGAUUCCCCCAGUAGCGGCGAGCGAACGGGGAGGAGCCCAGAGCCUGAAUCAGUGUGUGUGUUAGUGGAAGCGUCUGGAAAGGCGCGCGAUACAGGGUGACAGCCCCGUACACAAAAAUGCACAUGCUGUGAGCUCGAUGAGUAGGGCGGGACACGUGGUAUCCUGUCUGAAUAUGGGGGGACCAUCCUCCAAGGCUAAAUACUCCUGACUGACCGAUAGUGAACCAGUACCGUGAGGGAAAGGCGAAAAGAACCCCGGCGAGGGGAGUGAAAAAGAACCUGAAACCGUGUACGUACAAGCAGUGGGAGCCUCUUUAUGGGGUGACUGCGUACCUUUUGUAUAAUGGGUCAGCGACUUAUAUUCUGUAGCAAGGUUAACCGAAUAGGGGAGCCGAAGGGAAACCGAGUCUUAACUGGGCGUUAAGUUGCAGGGUAUAGACCCGAAACCCGGUGAUCUAGCCAUGGGCAGGUUGAAGGUUGGGUAACACUAACUGGAGGACCGAACCGACUAAUGUUGAAAAAUUAGCGGAUGACUUGUGGCUGGGGUGAAAGGCCAAUCAAACCGGGAGAUAGCUGGUUCUCCCCGAAAGCUAUUUAGGUAGCGCCUCGUGAAUUCAUCUCCGGGGUAGAGCACUGUUUCGGCAAGGGGGUCAUCCCGACUUACCAACCCGAUGCAAACUGCGAAUACCGGAGAAUGUUAUCACGGGAGACACACGGCGGGUGCUAACGUCCGUCGUGAAGAGGGAAACAACCCAGACCGCCAGCUAAGGUCCCAAAGUCAUGGUUAAGUGGGAAACGAUGUGGGAAGGCCCAGACAGCCAGGAUGUUGGCUUAGAAGCAGCCAUCAUUUAAAGAAAGCGUAAUAGCUCACUGGUCGAGUCGGCCUGCGCGGAAGAUGUAACGGGGCUAAACCAUGCACCGAAGCUGCGGCAGCGACGCUUAUGCGUUGUUGGGUAGGGGAGCGUUCUGUAAGCCUGUGAAGGUGUGCUGUGAGGCAUGCUGGAGGUAUCAGAAGUGCGAAUGCUGACAUAAGUAACGAUAAAGCGGGUGAAAAGCCCGCUCGCCGGAAGACCAAGGGUUCCUGUCCAACGUUAAUCGGGGCAGGGUGAGUCGACCCCUAAGGCGAGGCCGAAAGGCGUAGUCGAUGGGAAACAGGUUAAUAUUCCUGUACUUGGUGUUACUGCGAAGGGGGGACGGAGAAGGCUAUGUUGGCCGGGCGACGGUUGUCCCGGUUUAAGCGUGUAGGCUGAUUUUCCAGGCAAAUCCGGAAAAUCAAGGCUGAGGCGUGAUGACGAGGCACUACGGUGCUGAAGCAACAAAUGCCCUGCUUCCAGGAAAAGCCUCUAAGCAUCAGGUAACAUCAAAUCGUACCCCAAACCGACACAGGUGGUCAGGUAGAGAAUACCAAGGCGCUUGAGAGAACUCGGGUGAAGGAACUAGGCAAAAUGGUGCCGUAACUUCGGGAGAAGGCACGCUGAUAUGUAGGUGAAGUCCCUCGCGGAUGGAGCUGAAAUCAGUCGAAGAUACCAGCUGGCUGCAACUGUUUAUUAAAAACACAGCACUGUGCAAACACGAAAGUGGACGUAUACGGUGUGACGCCUGCCCGGUGCCGGAAGGUUAAUUGAUGGGGUUAGCGGCAACGCGAAGCUCUUGAUCGAAGCCCCGGUAAACGGCGGCCGUAACUAUAACGGUCCUAAGGUAGCGAAAUUCCUUGUCGGGUAAGUUCCGACCUGCACGAAUGGCGUAAUGAUGGCCAGGCUGUCUCCACCCGAGACUCAGUGAAAUUGAACUCGCUGUGAAGAUGCAGUGUACCCGCGGCAAGACGGAAAGACCCCGUGAACCUUUACUAUAGCUUGACACUGAACAUUGAGCCUUGAUGUGUAGGAUAGGUGGGAGGCUUUGAAGUGUGGACGCCAGUCUGCAUGGAGCCGACCUUGAAAUACCACCCUUUAAUGUUUGAUGUUCUAACGUGGGCCCCUAAUCGGGGUUGCGGACAGUGUCUGGUGGGUAGUUUGACUGGGGCGGUCUCCUCCUAAAGAGUAACGGAGGAGCACGAAGGUUGGCUAAUCCUGGUCGGACAUCAGGAGGUUAGUGCAAUGGCAUAAGCCAGCUUGACUGCGAGCGUGACGGCGCGAGCAGGUGCGAAAGCAGGUCAUAGUGAUCCGGUGGUUCUGAAUGGAAGGGCCAUCGCUCAACGGAUAAAAGGUACUCCGGGGAUAACAGGCUGAUACCGCCCAAGAGUUCAUAUCGACGGCGGUGUUUGGCACCUCGAUGUCGGCUCAUCACAUCCUGGGGCUGAAGUAGGUCCCAAGGGUAUGGCUGUUCGCCAUUUAAAGUGGUACGCGAGCUGGGUUUAGAACGUCGUGAGACAGUUCGGUCCCUAUCUGCCGUGGGCGCUGGAGAACUGAGGGGGCUGCUCCUAGUACGAGAGGACCGGAGUGGACGCAUCACUGGUGUUCGGGUUGUCAUGCCAAUGGCACUGCCCGGUAGCUAAAUGCGGAAGAGAUAAGUGCUGAAAGCAUCUAAGCACGAAACUUGCCCCGAGAUGAGUUCUCCCUGAGACUUAGAGUCUCCUGAAGGAACGUUGAAGACGACGACGUUGAUAGGCCGGGUGUGUAAGCGCAGCGAUGCGUUGAGCUAACCGGUACUAAUGAACCGUGAGGCUUAACCUUACAACGCCGAAG
rnacentral:rRNA from 1 species